rnacentral:rRNA from 1 species
CCUACGGGAGGCAGCAGUGGGGAAUAUUGCACACUGGGGGAAACCCUGAUGCAGCGACGCCGCGUGAGUGAAGCAGUAUUUCGGUAUGUAAAGCUCUAUCAGCAGGGAAGAAAUAGCGACCUUUGGGUCGCCAGACGGUACCUGAUUAAGAAGCCCCGGCUAACUACGUGCCAGCAGCCGCGGUAAUACGUAGGGGGCAAGCGUUAUCCGGAUUGACUGGGUGUAAAGGGAGCGUAGACGGCAGCGCAAGUCUGAAGUGAAAUGCCGGGGCUUAACCCCGGAACUGCUUUUGAAACUGGGCAGCUAGAGUGCAGGAGAGGUAAGUGGAAUUCCUAGUGUAGCGGUGAAAUGCGUAGAUAUUAGGAGGAACACCAGUGGCGAAGGCGGCUUACUGGACUGUAACUGACGUUGAGGCUCGAAAGCGUGGGGAGCAAACAGGAUUAGAUACCCUUGUAGUC